UCUUCGGUUGUUGUGAAGAAG
rnacentral:piRNA from 1 species